rnacentral:rRNA from 1 species
AUUGAACGCUGGCGGCAGGCCUAUCACAUGCAAGUCGAACGAGUGGCGGACGGGUGAGUAAUGUCUGGGAACCUGCCUGAUGGAGGGGGAUUACUACUGGAAACGGUAGCUAAUACCGCAUACCAUCGGAUGUGCCCAGAUGGGAUUAGCUAGUAGGGUGGGUAAAGGCUCAACUAGGCGACAAUAACUAGCUGGUAUGAGAGGAUGACCAGCCAGACUGGAACUGAAACACGGUCCAGACGCAUACGUGAGGCAGCAGUGGGGAAUAUUGCACAAUGGGAGCAAGCCUGAUGCAGCCAUGCCGCGUGUAUGAAGAAGGCCUUCGGGUUGUAAAGUACUGGCAUCGGGGAGGCGUUACCCGCAGAAGAAGCACCGGCUAACUCCGUGACAGCAGCCGCGGUAAUAC